rnacentral:rRNA from 1 species
GGUUAUCUUUGAUGGUACCUCAAGAGGAAGCCACGGCUAACUCUGUGCCAGCAGCCGCGGUAAUACAGAGGUGGCUAGCGUUGUUCGGAUUUACUGGGCGUAAAGCGUGCGUAGGCGGUCGCGUGUGUCGGAUGUGAAAUCCCGGGGCUCACCCCUGGAAGUGCAUCCGAAACUGCGUGGCUUGAGUCUGGGAUGGGUGACUGGAACACAUGGUGUAGCGGUGAAAUGCGUUGAUAUCAUGUGGAACACCGGAGGCGAAAGCGAGUCACUGGAACAGAACUGACGCUGAGGCACGAAAGCGUGGGGAGCAAACAAAAGUAGAUACCCUGGUAGUCCACCCCGUAAACGUCCUAUGUAAGGCGUUGGGGGAAUUGGCCCCUCCAGUGGCGGAGCUACGCCGUUAAAUGUGCCGCCUGGGGAGUACGGCCGCAAGGCUAAAACUCAAAGAAAUUGACGGGGGCCCGCACAAGCGGAGGAGCAUGUGGCUUAAUUCGAUGCAACGCGAAGAACCUUACCCAGACUUGACAUGUGACUGCACGCCCUGUGAAAGCAGGGUUCCUUCGAGGGUGUCACACAGGUGCUGCAUGGCUGUCGUCAGUUCGUGCCGUGAGGUGUUUGGUUAAGUCCACCAACGAACGCAACCCCUGCGUCCAUUUGCCAACAGGUAAUGCUGGGAACUAUGGACGGACUGCCCCUUCAAACGGGAGGAAGGUGGGGAUGACGUCAAGUCAGUAUGGCCCUUACGUCUGGGGCUGCACACGUGCUACAAUGGUCGGUACAGCAGGAAGCAAGACCGCAAGGUGGAGCAAAACCCUAAAGCCGGCCUCAGUUCGGAUUGGAGUCUGCAAUUCGACUCCAUGAAGUUGGAUUCGCUAGUAACGGCGCAUCAGCAUUUGGUGCCGUGAAUACGUUCCCGGGCCUUGUACACACCGCCCGUCA